rnacentral:rRNA from 1 species
UGGGGAAUUUUCCGCAAUGGGGGCAACCCUGACGGAGCAACGCCGCGUGCGGGAGGAAGGCCUUUGGGUUGUAAACCGCUUUUCUCAGGGAAGAAGCUCUGACGGUACCUGAGGAAUCAGCCUCGGCUAACUCCGUGCCAGCAGCCGCGGUAAUACGGAGGAUGCAAGCGUUAUCCGGAAUAAUUGGGCGUAAAGCGUUCGUAGGUGGUUUUGUAAGUCUGCUGUUAAAGCGUGUAGCUUAACUACAUAUAGGCGGUGGAAACUACAAAACUAGAGUGCGUUCGGGGCAGAGGGAAUUCCUAGUGUAGCGGUGAAAUGCGUAGAGAUUAGGAAGAACACCGGUGGCGAAAGCGCUCUGCUAGGCCGCAACUGACACUGAGGGACGAAAGCUAGGGGAGCGAAUGGGAUUAGAUACCCCCGUAGUCC